rnacentral:rRNA from 1 species
GUCCACGCCGUAAACGAUGGAUACUAGUUGUUCGGCAUUUAUGCUGAGUGACUAAGCGAAAGUGAUAAGUAUCCCACCUGGGGAGUACGUUCGCAAGAAUGAAACUCAAAGGAAUUGACGGGGGCCCGCACAAGCGGUGGAGCAUGUGGUUUAAUUCGAUGAUACGCGAGGAACCUUACCAAGGCUUAAAUGUAGGUUGACCGAUUUGGAAACAGAUUUUUCGCAAGACAAUUUACAAGGUGCUGCAUGGUUGUCGU